rnacentral:rRNA from 1 species
GACGAACGCUGGCGGCGCGCCUAACACAUGCAAGUCGAACGGAGUCAAGAGGAGCUUGCUUUUCUUGACUUAGUGGCGAACGGGUGAGUAACGCGUGAGUAACCUGCCCUGGAGUGGGGGACAACAGUUGGAAACGACUGCUAAUACCGCAUAAGCCCACGGAUCCGCAUGGAUCUGCGGGAAAAGGAUUUAUUCGCUUCAGGAUGGACUCGCGUCCAAUUAGCUAGUUGGUGAGGUAACGGCCCACCAAGGCGACGAUUGGUAGCCGGACUGAGAGGUUGAACGGCCACAUUGGGACUGAGACACGGCCCAGACUCCUACGGGAGGCAGCAGUGGGGGAUAUUGCACAAUGGGGGAAACCCUGAUGCAGCGACGCCGCGUGGAGGAAGAAGGUUUUCGGAUUGUAAACUCCUGUCGUUAGGGACGAUAAUGACGGUACCUAACAAGAAAGCACCGACUAACUACGUG